GGGGAGGAGGAAGAAGAAGAGGAGGAGGGGGUAAGUGUGGUGCCCAAAUGCCUUGUGGGUAGUAAGAUCUUAUUAAAAGAAAGCCAGUAUUAUUCUCAUAGAAAAAUGCUCAUGUGCAAAAAAGGUCAAUUCUUCCAAGGUUCUAGAGAAUUUCAGUAGAUGUCUAGAUCACAUCUAUAGCACUGGAUUACAGAUCCUAAAGUUUCUUAUCUUAUUUUUAGGUGAGGAAAAGGAAACUGAGGCCCAAGAGAUUUUAUGGUUAUAUGGCCCCUUCAGAGGAGAGCUGGUCCUGAGAACUUUGGCCUCUGAUUCUACUCCCCAUGCCCCCCUGGUUGGUUUUUUUAGAAGUCAAAUGGGCUUCCUGGCAUUCCCUUCCGUCUGUUAAGUUUAAGAUGCUUAUCUUGUUCCAGGAGCUGUUGCCGGUGUUAUUAAAAUUUGAGAGGAAAACAAACGCAGCUCAGUCUCCUGACGAUCUUCCAGAGCUGGGCGCCUGCUUGGAACAUAAAUGUAGCUUUGCUUGGAGUGCUGAAACGUCCACAGCCAGACACAGGCAGAGCUGGCUUUUUCUCAUCUUCAUGACCUUGGGAAAGUCACCUAACAUCUAGGGCCCUAUUUUUCCCCAGAAAUAAGAAUAGUCAGACUUGGCUGAGUGUACUGGCUAGUUUUGUGUCAACUUGACACAGUUGGAGUUAUCACAGAGAAAGGAGCUUCAGUUGGGGAAAUGCCUCCAUGAGAUACAACUGGAAGGCAUUUUCUCAAUUAGUGAUCAAGGGGGAAAGGCCCCUUGUGGGUGGGACCAUCUCUGGGCUGGUUGGUAGUCUUGGGUUCUAUAAGAGAGUAAGCUGAGCAAGCCAGGGGAAGCAAGCCAGUAAGGUACAUCCCUCCAUGGCCUCUGCAUCAGCUCCUGCUUUCUGACCUGCUUGAGUUCCAGUCCUGACUUCCUUUGGUGAUGAGGAGCAGUAUGGAAG
rnacentral:lncRNA from 1 species